rnacentral:rRNA from 1 species
CAUGUCCUUUUGAUAAUGAUUUAAGGUCUAAUCUGCUCAAUGAAUAUUAAAUAGCCGCAGUAUUUUGACUGUGCAAAGGUAGCAUAAUAAUUAGUUCUUUAAUUGAGAACUGGAAUGAAUGAUUGGACAAGAAAAUUUCUGUCUCUUUCUUAAUUUUUUUGAAUUUUAUUUUUAAGUGAAAAAGCUUAAAUUUUUAUAAAAGACGAGAAGACCCUAUAGAGUUUAAUAUAAUCUGGUAAUAGAAUUUUAGAAACUUUGUUUAUUAGAUUUUAUUUGAUUGGGGUGAUUGAAAGAUUUAAAAAAUUCUUUUACAAAUUAAUUGAAGAUUUUCAAAUUAUUUAUCUAUAAUUAAUAAAUUUAAAAUAAAUUACCUUAGGGAUAACAGCGUAAUUUUUCUUUAAAGUUCUUAUUAAAAGAAAAGUUUGCGACCUCGAUGUUGGAUUAAAAUUAAUUUUUGGAGCAGCAGCUUAAAAAUUGGGUCUGUUCGACCUUUAAAAUUUUACAUGAUCUGAGUUUAGACCGGUGUGAGCCAGGUCGGAUUCUAUCUUUAGAAAAUUAUUAUAUUUUAGUACGAAAGGACCAAAUAUAGAUUAAAUUAAUUGU